CCCGUGCUAAGGACUAUUCAACGCUGGUCUGACCAAUCGGAAUCCACGAUUCAGGAUUAUUUUGAUCACGUGGACUGGGAUAUGCUCGGGUAGCUUGCGAAAAUAAUCUAGAUGCAUACACGGAUACGGUGACUGAGUUUAUAAGGAAGUGUAUUGGAGAUGUAGUUCCCACUGUGACUAUGAAAACCUACCCUAACCACAGUAGCAUUCGCACGAAACUGAAAGCGCGAACCACCUCAUUUUCCCCUUGGCAAGGUGACUGGGAAUAUGGCAGAAUAUAAACAGUGUAGUUAUUCACUCCGCAAGCUAACAAGCUAAACGUCAUUAUAGAGAUAAACUGGAGUCACAAUUCAACGGCUCAGACACGAGACGUAUGUGGCGUCGACUACAGACAAUCACAGACUACAAAAGUAAAACCAGCCACGUCGCAGAAGCCGACAUCUUGCUUCCGGACAAGUUAACCACAUUCUUUGCUCGCUUUGAGGAUAACACAGCGCCACGGACGUGGCGCGCUACCAAGGACUGUGGGCUCUCCUUCUCCGUGGCCGACUCUGCUGUCCCCACAUGCUUCAAGAAGGCCACCAUUGUUCCUGUACCCAUGAAGGCAAAGAUGCACAAUUGAAAGCAUCCUGUGAGGCUGUAUCGCUGCCUAGAACGGCAACUGCACCGCCCGCAACCGCAAAGCUCUCCAGAGGGCAGUGAGGUCUGCCCAACGCAUUACCGGGGCAAACUACCCGCCCUCCAGGACACAGGAUGAUGAUGUCACAGGAUGGCCGAAAAGAUCAGCAAGGACAUCAACAACCAUUCACCCCACUAUCAUCCAGAAGGCGAGGUCAGUACAGGUGCAUCAAAGCUGGGACAGAGACUCAAAAACAACUUAUAUCUCAAAGCCAUCAGACUGUUAAACAGCCAUCACUAACACAUUAGAGGCUACUGCCUAUGAGAUGACUAAUGCCAGGUAUGUGCAAACCUGGUGGCCAACUACAAGAAAUGUCUGACCUCUGUGAUUGCCAACAAAGGUUUUGUCACUAAGUACUAAGUCAUGUUUUGCAGAGGGGUCAAAUACUUCUUUGCCUCAUUAAAAUGCAUAUUUGACGUGUUUUUCUGGAUUUUCUUUUUGUUAUUCUGUCUCUCACUGUUCAAAUAAACCUACCAUUAAAAUUAUAGACUGAUAAUUUCUUUGUCAGUGGGCAAACAUACAAAAUCAGCAGGGGAUCAAAUACUUUUUUCCCUCAAUGUAUGGAUAUAGUCUUAUAUGUACAGUUGAAGUCGGUGGUUUACAU
ensembl:lncRNA